rnacentral:misc_RNA from 1 species
CACCGCGGCAGAGAGUCAACGGUUUGCAAUGAUCGCCGACGUUAUACCCGCUCGUACUUGUUUAUUUGGCGUUCUAGCGGCUACUUCCUUGAUUUUAUAUUUGUUGUCAAUUUGAAGUAAUAUUCGAUAAUUACAGCGAGAGGUGUAAAGCGUGAUUCGCGAUAAUUUCAUGAGUGAGAGGAACGCGAAAGAAACUAAUACGGAGGGCAAUAUAAACGGGCUUGUGAGAAGCAUCUCAACGUAAUCAACUGUCAGGGUUCGUCACGCUGACGAGGACUCCAGAUCGUGAGAUCGUGAGAAAAACAUCGACACGAUCUAUGACGAGUCGCGUGUAACCAGAAUCUAAGAACGCUGUGACGAACAUUCAAGAUGGUUUUCAACAAACGCGAUCUCGAAAAAGCUUUUUCACCAAACAAGGCUCGAAAAACCGUGAAAAGACUUGGCAAUACACCCGGUGGGGGGUCGAGCUUAAAACCAAGCACAAGCGGCAGUACCGAUCGUCUAAGAAACGACAACGGCUCCGCUGCAACGAGCAUACGCGUUAUCGUGCGAGUGAGGCCACCCAAUGACAAAGAAUCACAAAAAGAAAAUCACCGAUCAGUCAUCAAAGUAAUAGAUGACAAGAUGCUCAUAUUCGAUCCCAAAGAGGAAGAAAGUCCUUUUUUCUAUAGAGGUGUUGCCCAAAAAGGCAGGGAUUUAUUAAAAAAGCAAAACAAAGAAUUGGAAUUCAUGUUCGACCGAGUAUUUGAUGACAGAUGUUCCAAUGCAGAAGUAUUCGAGGGCACUACCAAAGACAUUAUAGCGAGCCUCCUGGAUGGCUACAAUUGUUCUGUUUUUGCAUACGGAGCAACCGGUGCUGGCAAAACUCAUACCAUGUUGGGACACGACAACGAUCCCGGUAUUACUUUCAGAACAAUGUCUGAAUUAUUUGCUCAGAUAGAGGCUCAGAGUGAAAACAGAGAUUUCAAUUUGGGGGUCACUUAUCUCGAAGUUUACAACGAAAAUGUCUGUGACCUGUUGCACAAAUCUGGUCCCCUUGCUAUCAGAGACGAUGGUAGACACGGAAUCAUCGUAGCUGGUCUGAAAAUCAUAACUAUCUACAGUCCCGACGAGCUGCUCACGCUACUUGCCAGAGGAAAUAAGAAUCGUACUCAACAUCCGACAGAUGCCAAUGAGGAGAGUAGUCGUAGUCAUGCAGUAUUUCAAGUAUACGUCAAUAUAACAAACAAGCUGGACGGUCAGAAGAAACAUGUUAAAUUGUCAAUGAUAGAUCUGGCUGGAUCGGAGAGAGCCUCUGCGACAGGAUGCAAAGGAGCGCGCUUCAAGGAGGGUGCUAAUAUCAAUAAAUCGCUCCUGGCGCUUGGUAAUUGCAUAAACAAUCUUGCAGAUGGAAUAAAGCAUAUACCCUAUAGAGACUCGAAAUUGACACGGCUGUUAAAAGAUUCGCUCGGAGGUAAUUGUCAGACUGUCAUGAUCGCAAACGUCGGCCCUUCCAGUCUUAGCUUCGAAGAUACGUACAACACUCUGAGGUACGCGAAUCGAGCGAAGAAGAUCAAAUUGAACAUCAAAAAGAACAUAAUAUCGUGCCAGAUGCAUGUUACCGGUUACGUGAAAAUUGUCGAAGAGCAGAAGAAAGAAAUCGAAAUGCUCAAACAAAAAUUGUUGGCCUUGGAGAGACGGUCGAUCGAAGGAACGGUUGCCGGAUCACCGGACUCGAGAGCCACGAAAGACCCGAAAACCGAAGAGAUGGAGAAGGAAUUUUCCGAGAUGCGCGACAAGCUGAUCAAACUGCUUCGGUCAAAGGCGCAGCUGAACGAAAAGGUUUUAUCACUACAAGGCGCCGACAAGAUACUCUGUUGCCGAAUACAAUACAAAAUAGCGGCGGACAAGAGACUGAGGCACUUGACAGCGACGGUCGAUGCGAUGAGCGAGGAGGAGCAAAACGCUAGCGGAAAAUCGCGCGUAAACAAAUCUCUCUCUCAUUUCAAGCGUCAACGCGAAGUUGUUAAACUGCAGAUGCAAACGGCCUGGAAUGAUUUGCAAUCGAUCGAGAUGCAGAUAGUGGCGCUGAACGCGACUCUCGUAUCGAAAAAAUAUGCAGACAGAUUGAUCGAAACGAACAAGGUGCAGCAGUGCGAAAUUGAAAAAAUACGUUACCAGCAACAAUUUGAGCACGCGAAAAAGGUCUGCAGCCUUCAACAGUGCGAGUUACAAUCGCUCGAUACGAGCACCCGUACGAUGAGUUUAACCCUACAAAAUUAUUACAACAUAAUGCGGGGUUACGGGACUAUGACGGAUGAGAUGAGGCAACAAUUCAAACAACUGGUCAAAUCGCUCGAGGGUGUUCGCAACAUCAAGUGGGCGGAAUCAGAAGCGGGCAGUUACUCACCCGAAGAUUCGUACCUUCUUACCUGUCUCAGUACCGACGAGCUCGACGACCCAUUGAACAACGAAAUGCCGAUUUAUAAAGCUCCCUAUCUCGAGGAUGAAGAUACGAAUCAGCACAAUCAACAGACAAAAACCUCAACGAUACUCGUCAACGGCGGCAACACUACGACACCACCGCGCGAUUCGAAUAUGGAUCAGACCACGCCACCGCCACCCCUUUCUCUAAAUUCAACGAUAACCCUUGAUGACGAGGCUUUGUUGAUUAAGGAUAGUAAUGACGAAUCAACUCCGUCCCCUACCGAAAUCACUCCCGAGACUAUCAAAGCCAAUCAAUUGAACAAUACCUUCAAUCUCAUGGAAAAUAAAGUAGCAAAAAAGCGUACACUUGCGGAUAAGAAUCCAAUUGGCAACCAAACACCCGUCAAGCAAGCUAAAAAGAUAUCCCCGAAGCAGCGAACAGCCGCGACAGGCAGCAACGGGGUUCUUACUACUACUGGCAAAGAAAACAAAAACAACCCGCCGAACAGCACCACCAACAAACCUGCCUCGGUCAUGAGUGCCAAGAGCAUAGCGAUUCUCAAUAAACUCAAAGCUGACAGACUGAAGCUCUUGCCGCAGCCGUCGAACACCUCCACGGAAAGCGGAACUGGUGAUGGUUUGCUCUGCAACAAAGUUGUCAGGAUCAAAGAGCGACGAGGACUCGUCGGGACGCAUCCCUACCAGAAGACCAAUGCCAAGCCGAAGUGAGUUUCACUUGAAUAUUUUCUCAUCUACCGAGAGAGAUAUCAUUUGUUGUAUGAUAUUAUUACACCGAAGUACCUCGAGCGUACCGUCCUCCAGAGUACCCUGGUAGGGAAUUGUUAUUCUCAUUAUUAUCGUCCAACGCGCUCGAGCGCGUGUAUAACUCUAAUAAUUUUUUCAUUCAAACUAAGUUUCGAUUUAAAACAAACUUGUAUAUAUUAUAUAUAUUGAAUUUGCACAAGAAAAAGCCUUACAGAACUGAUAUAGCAUAGAGGAGUCGUACGAAAAGAAUAUUUAUAACCAUUUGUAUCCCUGGGCUCGCGUGCGCCAAGCUCGUGUAAAAGUCGAGACUAGAGCCAAUUUUUCCAAACGCUCGGUUGUUCCGAGCACCCACUUAAGUCCAGAUAAAUGUGACUAAUUACGAGAAAAAAGAACGUGUAUUGUGACAUUACACUCAAACGCGAUGCAUUAAUGAUGACCCUUGAAUGGUUGACUGUUUUUUUUCGAUUCAAUAUACAAUACGCCAGCUUGACAAUAAUAACUAAAACUAUUGACAUGAUUUUAUGAGCGAUAAAUGUUAUACGUAUAUUUUGUUUUAAAAAAGUAUCCGCUUCGACGGUGAAAAUAUAAUGAGAGAAAGAGUACGAUAGAUGAGCAGUUUUGUAUUUUGAUAAAAAUGAACAACUGUAUGCUUUGUAACAUUUGAAAAAAAAAAAAAAAAAAAAUACAACCAUCAAAAUAUUUAUGCAGAUGAAAUAAGGUUUCUGAUUUUGAAGAUUGAACAAAGUUCAACGUAGCGUUGUUUUACCGCUGCUGGUCUUCAGACCUUCGAAUAUUGCCCCGUUGCUCAAUGUAUCCUUCAAAAUAAAAAAAAAAUCUAA